ensembl:lncRNA
CAGUAAAUAAUGGGCAGGAGGGCAAACUGGCGCUAAAAUCACAAGAAAGAUGCAGACGGACAAAACAGGCGUUAGUGGUGCAGACACCGCUGAAAACGAAACCCCGUCAUAUUCUGAAGUUGAACUCGAAGGAAAUGAAGUGAACCCCUGGCCAUAUUUAUGCUUUAUUAUGCAGUGUAAGCUGUGCUUGCCUAGGGAGACCAAACUAGCAGCUUAUAAAAUCUCGACAAGACGUCAACCCUUCGCAAGCAUGUAGAGGUACACCAUAGCCUGCAGAUCCAGUCUAUAUCCAGAUCAGAUGUUCACUGCAGUCAACCGGAUCCAGUACGUAUCCAGCCUAGAUGGUGGAUCAGCACCUAGAGAUGACCUCGACGGCCCUGAAUGUCAGCGGAGACCAGGACAACUAGAUGAGCCCCAGAGACAGAUCCCCAGUAAAGACCUUGUCUCCUAGACGGCCACCGGGACAAGACCACAAGAACCAG